AUUGAACGCUGGCGGCAUGCUUUACACAUGCAAGUCGAACGGCAGCGCGGGCUUCGGCCUGGCGGCGAGUGGCGAACGGGUGAGUAAUGCAUCGGAACGUGCCCAGUAGUGGGGGAUAGCCCGGCGAAAGCCGGAUUAAUACCGCAUACGACCUGAGGGUGAAAGCGGGGGACCGAAAGGCCUCGCGCUAUUGGAGCGGCCGAUGUCGGAUUAGCUAGUUGGUGGGGUAAAGGCUUACCAAGGCGACGAUCCGUAGCUGGUCUGAGAGGACGACCAGCCACACUAGGAGUGAGCCACGGUCAAGAGCCAUACGCUUGGCCGCAGUCGGACAUCUUGGACAAUUGGGACCACCCUGCUCCACCAAUGCCGCGUGCGGGAAGAUAGCCUUCGGGUUGUCAUACGCUAUUGGCCGGGACGAAAUCAUCUGUGCUAAUACCCCGAGGGGAUGACGGUACCGGAAGAUAUAGCAACGGCUAACUCCGUG
rnacentral:rRNA from 1 species